rnacentral:rRNA from 1 species
ACAGAGGGUGCGAGCGUUAAUCGGAAUUACUGGGCGUAAAGCGCGCGUAGGUGGUUAAUUAAGUCGGAUGUGAAAUCCCAGGGCUCAACCUUGGAAUGGCAUCCGAUACUGAUUGGCUAGAGUACGGUAGAGGGGUGUGGAAUUUCCUGUGUAGCGGUGAAAUGCGUAGAUAUAGGAAGGAACAUCAGUGGCGAAGGCGACACCCUGGACUGAUACUGACACUGAGGUGCGAAAGCGUGGGGAGCAAACAGG